rnacentral:rRNA from 1 species
UACGUGAGCAGCAAGCGUUGUUCGGAGUUACUGGGCGUAAAGGGUGCGUAGGCGGUCCUAUAAGUAUGGUGUGAAAUCUCCCGGCUUAACUGGGAGGGUGCGCUAUAGACUGUGGGACUAGAGUGUGGGAGAGGAAAGUGGAAUUCCUGGUGUAGCGGUGAAAUGCGUAGAUAUCAGGAGGAACACCGGUGGUGUAAACGGCUUUCUGGACCAUAACUGACGCUGAGGCACGAAAGCCGUGGGUAGCAAACAGG